rnacentral:rRNA from 1 species
GCGGUUUAAUUGGACUCAACGCCGGGCAGCUCACCGGAUAAGACAGCUGGAUGAUAGCCGGGCUGAAGACUCUGCUUGACUAGCUGAGAGGAGGUGCAUGGCCGUCGUCAGUUCGUACUGUGAAGCAUCCUGUUAAGUCAGGCAACGAGCGAGACCCACGCCAACAGUUGCCAGCAUGUCCUCCGGGAUGAUGGGGACACUGUUGGGACCGCCUCUGCUAAAGAGGAGGAAGGAAUGGGCAACGGUAGGUCAGCAUGCCCCGAAUUAUCCGGGCUACACGCGGGCUACAAUGGUCAGGACAAUGGGUAUCGACACCGAGAGGUGGAGGCAAUCUCCUAAACCUGUCCUUAGUUCGGAUUGUGGGCUGCAACUCGCCCACAUGAAGCUGGAAUCCGUAGUAAUCGCGUUUCAAAAUAGCGCGGUGAAUAUGUCCCUGCUCCUU